GACGAACGCUGGCGGCGUGCUUAACACAUGCAAGUCGAACGGAAAGGCCCUGCUUUUGUGGGGUGCUCGAGUGGCGAACGGGUGAGUAAAACGUGAGUAACCUGCCCUUGACUUUGGGGUAACUUCAGGAAACUGGGGCUAAUACCCGAUAGGAGCUCCUGCUGCAUGGGGGGGGGUGGAAAGUUUCGGCGGUUGGGGAUGGGCUCGCGGCUUAUCAGCUUGUUGGUGGGGUAGUGGCUUACCAAGGCUUUGACGGGUAGCCGGCCUGAGAGGGUGACCGGCCACAUUGGGACUGAGAUACGGCCCAGACUCCUACGGGAGGCAGCAGUGGGGAAUAUUGCACAAUGGGCGGAAGCCUGAUGCAGCAACGCCGCGUGCGGGAUGACGGCCUUCGGGUUGUAAACCGCUUUCGCCUGUGACGAAGCGUGAGUGACGGUAAUGGGUAAAGAAGCACCGGCUAACUACGUG
rnacentral:rRNA from 1 species